GGGCGUAGAGGGCUCGCAGGCGGUUUCUUAAGUCUGAUGUGAAAGCCCCCGGCUCAACCGGGGAGGGUCAUUGGAAACUGGGGAACUUGAGUGCAGAAGAGGAGAGUGGAAUUCCACGUGUAGCGGUGAAAUGCGUAGAGAUGUGGAGGAACACCAGUGGCGAAGGCGACUCUCUGGUCUGUAACUGACGCUGAGGAGCGAAAGCGUGGGGAGCGAACAGGAUUAGAUACCCUGGUAGUCCACGCCGUAAACGAUGAGUGCUAAGUGUUAGGGGGUUUCCGCCCCUUAGUGCUGCAGCUAACGCAUUAAGCACUCCGCCUGGGGAGUACGGUCGCAAGACUGAAACUCAAAGGAAUUGACGGGGGCCCGCACAAGCGGUGGAGCAUGUGGUUUAAUUCGAAGCAACGCGAAGAACCUUACCAGGUCUUGACAUCCUCUGACAAUCCUAGAGAUAGGACGUCCCCUUCGGGGGCAGAGUGACAGGUGGUGCAUGGUUGUCGUCAGCUCGUGUCGUGAGAUGUUGGGUUAAGUCCCGCAACGAGCGCAACCCUUGAUCUUAGUUGCCAGCAUUCAGUUGGGCACUCUAAGGUGACUGCCGGUGACAAACCGGAGGAAGGUGGGGAUGACGUCAAAUCAUCAUGCCCCUUAUGACCUGGGCUACACACGUGCUACAAUGGACAGAACAAAGGGCAGCGAAACCGCGAGGUUAAGCCAAUCCCACAAAUCUGUUCUCAGUUCGGAUCGCAGUCUGCAACUCGACUGCGUGAAGCUGGAAUCGCUAGUAAUCGCGGAUCAGCAUGCCGCGGU
rnacentral:rRNA from 1 species